rnacentral:tRNA from 1 species
AGCCCAGCGGUGGGGUGCGUGCUUCGCAUGCACGAGGUCCUGGGUUCAAUCCCCAG